CAGAGCAGGGCCAGCCUGAAUGCCUCAGCCUGGGGAGCCACCAUUCAGGGCUAAACUGACAGCUCAGAGAUAGAGGAGUUCAGCCUGCUAAUUUGCUGCAAGAUACAGCAAAGGAGAGCCACUGACACCUGCGUCUCCAGCUGCCAGGGAGUGGGGCGAAUUUGCCAGUGACUUUGUCGUUGGCUAGCCACAGUGAGUAGUCCCAUGCUCCUCUCCCUCCAAGGACUUCCUUGGGAGAAUUUCAGAGAACAUUUCUUCUGAUUUUUCUCGUCACCCCACCAAAGGGCCAGUCUAGCAAACCAGGCUAUACUCCUAACUUGGGAGGUCAUACAUUUCAGGAGCGCAGGACCCCCAGGAGAAAUGUGCAGAUUCCUGUCUUCUUGCCUCUGGCGAGCAUGAAGGAAGCUUCCGUCUCAGUGGUGCUGAUGGAGGAGGGCAUGAAGUGCGGAGAGGAUGGAAGCCCCCUGUCUAAGCUGUUCUGUGCUGCUAAUGUUUCUCCCCUACCCACUGUCAACAUAUAUAUAUAUAUAUAUAUGCCAUGCUGGGUUUCCACAGGGGGACAGCGGAACCUUGGUCUUGUCAGGGUCUCUAGCUCCAUGCUGCUGGGAUCACAUUUAUGCCCAGGAAGAGAGCUCUGGCUCAGCUUGGCAGUGGUGGCCUGGGAUGUCAGCUGGCUGGAUUCUGUGGGUUGCUGAGGGAAGGCCCUCAUGAAUGGUCACCAAGAGUUGGGCCGACUCUAAGUAGGUCAUUGCUGGUUCUUCGGACAAGAGGAAUCCAAGAGCCAGUAUGUUAAACUCCUCCAAAUUUAAUUGAUUGCAUGGUCAGCCUGGCUUGGGCUUAGAUGCAACUUCUUUGGCUGUGAGGCAAGCAAAACGCACAGAGCUUUUGAGCCAGAAAUGUGUUUAUUUUAAGUUAAGGAGACUGAAGCCUGGAGUGAUGGGUAACAGCUAAUCAAGGCUUGAGCCAGAGGUAGAAACCCAGGUCUGCUGGCUUCCAGUCCUGGACUUUCACCUCAAGACCAAGGAGCCACCAAGGGCCUCUCUGUCCUACUCUGACUAUGUAAGAUUAACCCCUACCAACAAUAUGGUGUUUUGAGACCUGUGAUGAGGAAGGAGAAAUAUUAUAUUUCCAGGAGAGAGCUACUCAUUUCCCUAACAUGUAUGUGAACAAAUUCAACAUUCAAAUCAGGAACCACCUGAUAGGAAAGCAGUAUUAUAGGUAAAAACCCUUCUAGAAAAAAAACAGAAGAAGAAGCUCCUUUAUAAAGCCAGCACACAGGCAGAUGUAGCAGAAGAAAAUUAGUGGAUAAAGGAAAAGGGGCAAUGGGUAGUCCCUAAUUAUCCUACCAAGAAUCCAGUAUUAAUGAUGUAACAUUACAAAUGGGAAAGGGAGACUCACUUUGUGAAUGAGUAGGGUCUCUCUCUCACUUUUUUAACUACAGAAAACUUCCUCUAAGUAGGAAAGUUUGAGAAAGCAAAAGUAUAAUAAUCAGCAGGUAGAAAAAUAUACAAACCGGGAGAAUGAGUCAUCUUAAGUGGCAUUGCUCAUCUUGGGACAGCAAUUGCACCCUUUUCAAAUGAAGUCAGAAAGAAGUUUUAAUUUGACAUUUCCCAGUAUCUCCGUAGGGUCUCUUCAAGGGAAGAGAAUGGGACGGGCACAGUCCUGGUUUUCUCAAUGCAGAGAUUUCAGGAUGAAGAAAUGUCAUUUAUCCUGAGUCAGCAUAUUGAAGUGAAGAUGGACUCCCAUGGAGCUAAAUGGUUACAGGAUUUUAACUCUGAAAAAACUUUAGAAAAGACUGAGUCCAAUUGCCUUGUUUUACAGAUGGGAACACUGAACACGAGAUAGACAGACAGAGAGAGGAGAGAGAGAGAGGUUGGCCUUUCAUCUGUAUUGUGCUUUGAGCAAUCACAUCUAGUAUGAAAGCACACUCUGCUCAGAUGGACUCACUCCUUAAGAGAAGAUGGCGGCAAAGACACUCUAUCUUGGGAUUAUUAUUAAUUAAGAAAGGCUCAUGGAUGCUAACAGAGAAACUCCGGAAUCAUCUGGGAAUCCCUUGAAGAAGCUGAGCCUUCUCUCCUGUUACCCACAGCCCAGUCUGCCCCAUCCUGAAAGGUGUCAAGGAACUGCACUGAUCAGGCUGACCAUGGAAGACCCAGGGUGGAGACAGACGCAAUGUCCCCUUCACACCUCACCAAGGAAGUGACUUGGUCGGGUGGCUCAAGGAGAAACUGGUGGUAACAGUGUCUAAGGCAGAUGCUUGGGUAGAGCACCUAGUACUUGAUAAUCCUUGGGAGAGUUAUUGAAAUUCCUGGGGCUUUGGUUUUCCCAACCAGAAACUGAGGAAAAUGGAGCCUACCUCAUAGGGCUGUUGUAAAGAUUAAAUGAAUAAAUGUAGGUAAAAUACUGAGACUAGUACUUGGCAAAUAAUAAUUGGCCAUUAAAAUGUUAGCUGUUUUUAUUAGAGUACCUGUGAAUUCAUGCCCACACACACAGACACACAGACACACACACACACACCACACACAACCAAACACACAGCCAUGACCUUUGGCCUGAGUUUGGAUGAGACACUCUCAUGGAGUUGGUUCAUUGACAGCUAAAUGAAAGUGUUAAGUGUUGGAUUCAGUCUCUUUCAUCAGGGCUACCAGCCAGCAAAAUAUGCGGAAGGAUCUUUUCAUUCAAUGUUUCCAGAGUUGUGAUAUAUGGUUCCCUGCCCUGGAAACAGGGUAUGUCAGAGAGUGUACAUAUAUUCAGGGCACUCUGAGCUCUGCGUCACUUUUUGCCUUCUCUGUGAAGUCUUCCCUGACCUGUCCAACCAGAAGUGUUGAUUCUCCCCGCUGAUUGCCGACAAUAUUUAUCAUCUGUGCCAUUCACUGUAUAGUCAGUAUUUACUGUGUAAUAUUGUUUAUUUACUUUUAGCUUUUUUGUGUGCAUGUAUUUUCUUUCCCAGAUAAGACUGUAAACCUCCGGGGACAGAAUUACUUUUGUUACUCGCUACGUCACUCACUUUUGUAUGUCCAAAGAGCAGAGCAAGGUGCUUUGCACGUAGAAUAUGUUUAAUAAAG